UUAAAUUCUAUGAAAGAAAGAGUAAAUAUGUACUAAGUAUCCAAAGCGAGUAGGGUUGGUGAGAGCCUAUGAGAAAAGUUAUAUUGAAAGACAUUCUGGAGAUGCUUAUUUGAAUAUAUAGUAGGAUAAGACGGGUUUCCUCCGUUAAAGGGACUUGAGAUGAUAAUGUAUUAAUACGUUAUUAAACUAGGAUGGUACCGUGAACAUAAGCAUUCACUCCUAAA
rnacentral:ncRNA from 1 species